rnacentral:rRNA from 1 species
UUAGAGUUUGAUCCUGGCUCAGGACGAACGCUGGCGGCGUGCUUAACACAUGCAAGUCGAACGAUGAUCUCCCGCUUGCGGGGGUGAUUAGUGGCGAACGGGUGAGUAAUACGUGAGUAACCUGCCCUUGACUCUGGGAUAAGCCUGGGAAACCGGGUCUAAUACUGGAUACGACCCCCUGUCGCAUGGUGGGGGGUGGAAAGGGUUUGACUGGUUUUGGAUGGGCUCACGGCCUAUCAGCUUGUUGGUGGGGUAAUGGCUCACCAAGGCGACGACGGGUAGCCGGCCUGAGAGGGUGACCGGCCACACUGGGACUGAGACACGGCCCAGACUCCUACGGGAGGCAGCAGUGGGGAAUAUUGCACAAUGGGCGGAAGCCUGAUGCAGCGACGCCGCGUGAGGGAUGACGGCCUUCGGGUUGUAAACCUCUUUCAGCAGGGAAGAAGCCACAAGUGACGGUACCUGCAGAAGAAGCGCCGGCUAACUACGUGCCAGCAGCCGCGGUAAUACGUAGGGCGCAAGCGUUGUCCGGAAUUAUUGGGCGUAAAGAGCUCGUAGGCGGUUUGUCGCGUCUGCUGUGAAAGCCCGGGGCUCAACCCCGGGUCUGCAGUGGGUACGGGCAGACUAGAGUGCAGUAGGGGAGACUGGAAUUCCUGGUGUAGCGGUGAAAUGCGCAGAUAUCAGGAGGAACACCGAUGGCGAAGGCAGGUCUCUGGGCCUGUUACUGACGCUGAGGAGCGAAAGCAUGGGAGCAA